GAUUUGUCACGUUGUGCGAGCAAUUAUUGAGCUGUAGCUUUACCUUCUUCAACAUUUUCUAGAACUUUAACUGAAAAGUAAGUUCAUAAACCAAAAGUGUACUCCUCAAAUCCUUAUUGUCGUUAUCUUCACUCCGUGCGAAACUCAAUUCGUCAGUUUGUGUGUCUUCGUCUCAAUCAUCAGGUCUUAGCUGAUUAUCAUAGCUAUCCUAGGUUGUGCAGCACUGUACCAAAAUUGGCGAGUUCAGCAACUUCUACCCACUCGCGGUUGUGGUGUUUGUUUUCGCUUAAUGGGAACCGUUAGAUUUGUUGGCUGGGUCUUCAUCAUGUGGUUCAUUUGGCUGCCUCCGUUAAGACAUUUUGUAUCUCCUGUUACCAUUUAUUCCGUCAAUGUCUUUUGCGAUUUGUCACUUUGUGCGAGCAAUUAUUGAGCUGUAGCUUUACCUUCUUCAACGUUUUCUAGAACUUCAGCUGAAAAGUAAGUUCAUGAACCAAAAGUGCAUUCCUCAGAUCCUUAUUGUCGUUAUCUUCACUCCGUGCGAAACUCAGUCCGUCAGUUUGUCUGUCUUCGUCUUCAUCAUCAGGUUUUCUUCUGUUAUAAUCAGUUGUUUGGAGACAUUUGAAUUUGCAAUUUCUCAUCCACUGAAGUUUGGUAUCUUCAUCCUUCUUACUUGAGGUAAUUUAUUUUUCGAAAUGAUUCAUUUCUACAAUUUUGUAAUGAUUUAUAUAAAUGGUUAAUUCAUGUCUAUUAUUGCUAAAUAACUAUAUAAUUGAUAGUAUUUCAGAUGCUUGCUUCUAUACUUGUUGUU